rnacentral:rRNA from 1 species
GCAGUCUGCAACUCGAGUGCAUGAAGCUGGAAUCGCUAGUAAUCGCGAAUCAGAAUGUCGCGGUGAAUACGUUCCCGGGUCUUGUACACACCGCCCGUCACACCAUGGGAGCCGACAACGCCCGAAGUCAGUGACCUAACCGAAAGGGGAGGAGCUGCCGAAGGGCGGGGGUUGGUAACUGGGGUGAAGUCGUAACAAGGUAAC